AAAGGAAGAGAGAAGCCAGGUGUGGUGAUGGCGGCUCUUCUCUUUAGUCUCAGUGUGCUUGGGAGGCGGAGGCAGGAUGAUCACAACUUCAAGACCAGUCUCAGCUGGAUAGCUGGGCCACGAGAGAGACUUCAUCUCAAAACAAGCAAACAAAUACAUGCACAAAGAGCUAUCUGGAGGGAACAUGCAUCUCCUUUAAAGAUAAUAGGAAGAAAGAGGCUUGGCAUGGAGCAAGCUACUUAAGGACUAUUUAGGAAGAGACCUCCACAUGAAGGUGUUGGGAAGAACAGCACAUUGAAUAGUGACAUCCCUACGACAUGCCUCUCCAGGUGGUGCGACAUGCCUCUUCUCUUACCCAGGGCGCCUUGCCUCAUUAUCUCCCCCCCACCCCCCCUUUGAGUCACAGGAAGAAGAUGUGACUUUGAGAAACUGGUCUUCAAACUGGAGAGAGAGAGAGAGGGGCAUCUAGGUAAUGCUAAGUCAGAUUUUGAGACCUCCGAGGCUUGGUGCCCGUGUGUGUGUGUGUGUGUGUGUGUGUGUGUGUGUGUGUGUGUGUGUGUGCGCGCGCGCGCAUGCAUGUGUGUAGAAGGGGGAACAUGGGGACAUGGAUACAGGAGACGACACGAUGUAGGACUCCCUCCGUCCUAGUGCCCCACUCCUUAGCAAGGGUUCCCAGCUCAUGUCCAGCAGAAUAACAUUUUAGUUUCCAACUAAAGCGAUCAUCCUGAAAGUACCCGAAAGCAUUUUCCUCUGGGGAUGAACUCCAUAGAGCCUUGGGGCUCCGGGUGAUUUAGCAGCCAAAGACUGCACUGCUCCCUAGAGUAGUCCUUCUGAGGAAGUGUUAGCUUCUCCUCCAUGCUUCCCGGACACUGGAGGGACUGCAACUCCUGUGUGGGACUCUUCUGUUUCAG
rnacentral:lncRNA from 1 species